GAAAUGCGAUAAGUAAUGUGAAUUGCAGAAUUCAGUGAAUCAUCGAAUCUUUGAACGCACCUUGCGCUCCUUGGUAUUCCGAGGAGCAUGCCUGUUUGAGUGUCAUGGAAUCAUCAACCGUUCAUCCUUUGUUGGAUGUGGCGGCUUGGACUUGGAGGCUUAUGCUGGUUUCUUAACGGGAUCGGCUCCUCUUGAAUGCAUUAGCUUGAACCUAUGCUGUAUCGGCUGUUCGGUGUGAUAAUUGUCUACGCCGUGGCUGUGAGGCCCGUUGAAAGACGGUGGUAGGAUCAGCUUCUAACCGUCCCUGCGAACGGGACAACAUCUUAAUUGACCUCUGACCUCAAAUCAGGUAGGAUUACCCGCUGAACUUAA
rnacentral:misc_RNA from 1 species